rnacentral:rRNA from 1 species
UACGUAGGGGGCUAGCGUUGUCCGGAAUCAUUGGGCGUAAAGCGCGCGUAGGCGGCCCAGUAAGUCCGUUGUAAAAGUCAAAGGCUCAACCUUUGAAAGCCGAUGGAUACUGCUGGGCUAGAGUCCGGAAGAGGCGAGUGGAAUUCCUGGUGGUAGCGGUGGAAUGCGCAGAGUAUCAAGGAGGAACACCGAUAGCGAAGGCAGCUCGCUGGGACGGUACUGACGCUGAGGCGCGAAAGCGUGGGGAGCGAACAGGA